rnacentral:ncRNA from 1 species
ACUGUGGAGUGUACAAGAACUUGUGAGUAGCAUAUCUGUCUACAGAUUGCAAAAGCAUAUACUAUGAAGCAGUAA